rnacentral:rRNA from 1 species
GACAGAGGGUGCAAACGUUGUUCGGAAUUACUGGGCGUAAAGCGCGUGUAGGCGGCUUUGCAAGUCGGGCGUGAAAGCCCUCAGCUCAACUGAGGAAGUGCGCCCGAAACUGCAGAGCUUGAGUACCGGAGAGGAUGGCGGAAUUCCCCAAGUAGAGGUGAAAUUCGUAGAUAUGGGGAGGAACACCGGUGGCGAAGGCGGCCAUCUGGACGGAUACUGACGCUGAGACGCGAAAGCGUGGGGAGCAAACAGG